ACCCAGCUGACGAAUCUUAAAUAGGACGAUGUGGCGCGCGUCCUGGAU
rfam:Schistosoma haematobium scaffold9_49, whole genome shotgun sequence.